rnacentral:rRNA from 1 species
GGCCCAGAUCGUUUACCGUGAAAAAAUUAGAGUGUUCAAAGCAGGCAGAUUCAAUUUUCUGCCACCGAAUACAUUAGCAUGGGAUAAUGGAAUAGGACCCUGUCCUCCUAUUUUCAGUUGGUUUUGGCAGCGCGAGGACUAGGGUAAUGAUUAAUAGGGAUAGUUGGGGGCAUUAAUAUUUAAUUGUCAGAGGUGAAAUUCUUGGAUUUAUGAAAGAUUAACUUCUGCGAAAGCAUCUGCCAAGGAUGUCUUCAUUAAUCAAGAACGAAAGUUAGGGGAUCGAAGACGAUCAGAUACCGUCGUAGUCUUAACCAUAAACGAUGCCGACCAGCGAUUAGGAGACGUUGAAUACAAAACACCACCAUCAGUUGCGGUCGUCCUUGGCGUUCGUGUUCACGCACGAGCGCGAGGGCGGCUUAGCCCGAUGGCACCGGUGAAUGACUCCCCUAGCAGCUUGUGAGA